rnacentral:lncRNA from 1 species
AGUAUAACUUACUGUUCCAAGUGCAUGUGGCAGAAGACUUGACGAUUGUUGUACACCGUUAAAUUAGCAAGUAUCUCGCAUUAGCUGUUAAAAGUGAUCAAUUAUGUAAUCUUUUGAUCGUACAGUAAAUAAUGUCAAAAUUUUAUAAAAUUUGAUUUCUAUAAGUUUUAAAUACUAUAAAUAAUAUUUAACGGUAUGGAUCGUCGAUUCAGAAGCUCUAUAAUCGAAAACGACUUGUAAGCAUUAGGACGGCCGUACUCAUAAGAGUAUAGUAGCCAAUAGGCAAACGGGCUCCGUUAAACUAGCCCUACUCUAUACAUAUAAAUUGAGUUGAGCUGAAAUGCUAUCAGUAGCAAACGGGCUUCAUCGUCACCCAUUUGGUUUCAAUGAUGGACCCUCCAAAUUGACGAUUGGCACCGUUAAACAUGAUCUACACCAAUUGAAGUAUUUAGAAACCAAAUUUCAAAUCAUUCCGAUAUUAUUGACCUAAUGAUCAAAGGGUUUCAAAAUUUAUAAUUUUAAUGGUCGAUAUGAGACGUUUUCUCGUUAAUGGUGUAAAGAUAUCCAAAUUAAUUGAAUUCUGGUUAAAAAAACUCUUUAAACUAUUUAGAAUAAUAUCUAUACUCUCGAUCUUGAUUACAAGAUUUCUAUCAUCACUUUUAAAGAAUAUUCAUUCUUAGCCGUUCAUUUUUGUGUCUACUUGAUGGACAAGAGAACAAUAUCGAAAAAUAUGAAAUUUGAUUUCUAGAUGCUUCAAGUGAUAUAGAUCAUGUUCAAUGGUGUCGAUUGUCGAUUUGGUGGCUCCACUAUCGAAAACCAAUGGGUGGCAACGGAGUCCGUUUGUUACCGAUAACAUUCCAGCUCAACUCUAUAUAAAUUUUAUAUAUAUAUAUAUAUAUAUAUAUAUAUAUAUAGCAGGGCGACUAUACUCUUAUUAGUAUAGAGGCCUUCGUACUCCGAAUCAACGAUCCACUCCAUUAAAUAUGAUGUAGAGUAUUUGAAACUUUUAGAAAAUAAAUUUGGAAAUUUUUUAAAAUUAUAAUAAAGUCUAUUAGACGGGCAUAACAUGAACGGUCAAAAUCGAACGACGACCUAAAAAUAGAUGAUCGAUGAACGGUCAAAAUCGAACACAAAUUUUUUUUAGAUACUUUAAAUAUUGUAGAUUAAAUUUAACAAAAUCAAUCAUCAAUUCGAAAAUUCCAAUAUCGAAAAUGACUAGAGGGCUUGUGCGCUUACCUCUAUAAAGACAAGAAUAAGAAAUAUAGAAAAAUCUCCUGCAAAGGAAAAUGAUGCUAAACUAAGUUAUAAGGUAUGGGACUUGAUAUGGUCGAAACAAUAGCUACUAUUAUUAGAACACAUAAAUUGUAUCUAAUCGUGUUUUGAACCUUUUAGCUCCAUCAAUAUCUGUUUUAUAUUGUAAAUUAAUACUAAUAGUGUGAGAUCCCAGAUAGUCCUAUAUAUAAAAUACAAUAUGGCUAAAAUUUUUAACCCUAUUUAAGUAUUUUGGGUGGUGGCUACACACAAAAAAUUAAGAGAGUUAAGUGUGCAAUUAGGACGAGAGUAAUUCUAAAAUGGGUGACCCCCCGCAAAGUUGAGGC